CAGCCGCCACGGUAAUACGAAGGGUGCAAGCGUUACUCGGAAUUACUGGGCGUAAAGCGUGCGUAGGUGGUGGUUUAAGUCAGUUGUGAAAGCCCUGGGCUCAACCUGGGAAUUGCAGUGGAUACUGGGUCACUAGAGUGUGGUAGAGGAUAGUGGAAUUUCCGGUGUAGCAGUGAAACGCGUAGAGAUCGGAAGGAACAUCUGUGGCGAAGGCGACUAUCUGGGCCAACACUGACACUGAGGCGCGAAAGCGUGGGUAGCAAACAGGAUUAGAUACCCCAGUAGUCCCUGUCUCUUAUAC
rnacentral:rRNA from 1 species